UCAGUGAUUUGGGAGGUCAGCCUGUUUUCAGGAACGGGAGGAACAGUUUAAGUUCAAAAGUCAAACAAUAAUUAAGUGGCCUUCUUGCAAAUUUUGAGAGGUUACAGGAUACUAUAGUGCUGAAGUUUCGUGGAGUUGCUUAGCAGGCUGUGUUAGUUGUGACUCCAAACAGUCUAAAGAAAAACAAGCGACCCUAAGCGCUAAAACUAGACAUAAUCAAAGCAUCAAUAUUGUCGUGCGAAUAGUUUUUAAUACUAAGUUUUAUAGGGUUCAAGUUAGUAAUCUCUUACAACCCUGUUUCCAUAGAGAUGAGCAUGCUGUUUGGCUAAAGUUCUUUCAAUGUGCAGCCAUAUUUUAGUGAAUGUUGUGAUACCUCCUGCUGCAGAUUUCAAAACAGGAAUUCUCGAACACCAUCCAAGGCGAUAUGUUGCUCUAAGAUUGAUGUAUUUUGGACAAAGGUUUUAUGGUUUUGCCUCUGAAGCACAAUUGGAUCCAACUGUCGAGUCUGAAAUUUUAAAGCUCUUGAGAAGACUAAGCUUUUAGUUGGUGACAAGAAAAAGUCACAGUACUCAAGACGUGGCAGAACAGACAAAGGAGUUUCAUCUGUUGGACAAGUCAUUUCCCUGCUUCUACGAUCAAACCUGCGACCUAAGAACACAGAUGAUGCAAACAAUUGGGGACUUUCUAUAGAUAGAGAUGGCAUGUUGUUUGAGUGACUGAUCUUUAAUUGUUUUGAGCUCUAUUUUGUUGCUAUGAGUCUUUAGAUUGCUUUUGAAUGAAGUUUGAACUUCACUGGAAACUUGUGACUCAAUUCAAUUGCUACAGACCCAUUAAAGAGAAGAUUAAUUGUUAAAAAUCGGUGCAUUUUGUGCAAGGCUGAUGUCCGAGCUGGAAAUAAACUGCUGGUACCGUAAUAAAGCAUCCAUUAAAUAUACAUAUUCCUCUACAUACGUGUACACAUCACGCUGCUUUCCUAAUCAAAAGUGGCUUAUUUCAGACUAAGUGGUUAGCAUUUCCAAGUUAGCAGGGUAUUCUGCAGGAAAGUGCAUAUAUGUUGGGAUUAUGCAGUCAUUACAGAUUCUUACUUUAUUUGAUUUGUUGCAACGAAUUAUUUAUGAUGAAAAAUUAUCAUGUUCAAUAUGAUGCUUACUUUCAUUUAUUUGUCAGUCUUAGACGCGAAAAUUGAUUAUGUGAGAGUGUUGAAUCGAGUCUUACCCAAAGAUAUCCGAGUAACUGGCUGGUGUCCUGUUCCAAUUGAUUUUAGUGCAAGGUUUAGCUGUAUGAGCAGGAG